rnacentral:rRNA from 1 species
UCAAGUGAAGAAGCGCAUACGGUGGAUGCCUUGGCAGUCAGAGGCGAUGAAAGACGUGGUAGCCUGCGAAAAGCUUCGGGGAGUCGGCAAACAGACUUUGAUCCGGAGAUCUCUGAAUGGGGGAACCCACCUAGGAUAACCUAGGUAUCUUGUACUGAAUCCAUAGGUGCAAGAGGCGAACCAGGGGAACUGAAACAUCUAAGUACCCUGAGGAAAAGAAAUCAACCGAGAUUCCCUUAGUAGUGGCGAGCGAACGGGGAUUAGCCCUUAAGCUUCAUUGAUUUUAGCGGAACGCUCUGGAAAGUGCGGCCAUAGUGGGUGAUAGCCCCGUACGCGAAAGGAUCUUUGAAGUGAAAUCGAGUAGGACGGAGCACGAGAAACUUUGUCUGAACAUGGGGGGACCAUCCUCCAAGGCUAAAUACUACUGACUGACCGAUAGUGAACCAGUACCGUGAGGGAAAGGCGAAAAGAACCCCGGAGAGGGGAGUGAAAUAGAACCUGAAACCGUAUGCGUACAAGCAGUGGGAGCCUACUUGUUAGGUGACUGCGUACCUUUUGUAUAAUGGGUCAGCGACUUAUAUUCAGUGGCAAGCUUAACCGUAUAGGGUAGGCGUAGCGAAAGCGAGUCUUAAUAGGGCGUUUAGUCGCUGGGUAUAGACCCGAAACCGGGCGAUCUAUCCAUGAGCAGGUUGAAGGUUAGGUAACACUGACUGGAGGACCGAACCCACUCCCGUUGAAAAGGUAGGGGAUGACUUGUGGAUCGGAGUGAAAGGCUAAUCAAGCUCGGAGAUAGCUGGUUCUCCUCGAAAGCUAUUUAGGUAGCGCCUCAUGUAUCACUCUGGGGGGUAGAGCACUGUUUCGGCUAGGGGGUCAUCCCGACUUACCAAACCGAUGCAAACUCCGAAUACCCAGAAGUGCCGAGCAUGGGAGACACACGGCGGGUGCUAACGUCCGUCGUGAAAAGGGAAACAACCCAGACCGCCAGCUAAGGUCCCAAAGUUGUGGUUAAGUGGUAAACGAUGUGGGAAGGCUUAGACAGCUAGGAGGUUGGCUUAGAAGCAGCCAUCCUUUAAAGAAAGCGUAAUAGCUCACUAGUCGAGUCGGCCUGCGCGGAAGAUGUAACGGGGCUCAAACCACACACCGAAGCUGCGGGUGUCACGUAAGUGACGCGGUAGAGGAGCGUUCUGUAAGCCUGUGAAGGUGAGUUGAGAAGCUUGCUGGAGGUAUCAGAAGUGCGAAUGCUGACAUGAGUAACGACAAUGGGUGUGAAAAACACCCACGCCGAAAGACCAAGGGUUCCUGCGCAACGUUAAUCGACGCAGGGUUAGUCGGUUCCUAAGGCGAGGCUGAAAAGCGUAGUCGAUGGGAAACAGGUUAAUAUUCCUGUACUUCUGGUUACUGCGAUGGAGGGACGGAGAAGGCUAGGCCAGCUUGGCGUUGGUUGUCCAAGUUUAAGGUGGUAGGCUGAAAUCUUAGGUAAAUCCGGGGUUUCAAGGCCGAGAGCUGAUGACGAGUCGUCUUUUAGAUGACGAAGUGGUUGAUGCCAUGCUUCCAAGAAAAGCUUCUAAGCUUCAGGUAACCAGGAACCGUACCCCAAACCGACACAGGUGGUCGGGUAGAGAAUACCAAGGCGCUUGAGAGAACUCGGGUGAAGGAACUAGGCAAAAUGGCACCGUAACUUCGGGAGAAGGUGCGCCGGCUAGGGUGAAGGAUUUACUCCGUAAGCUCUGGCUGGUCGAAGAUACCAGGCCGCUGCGACUGUUUAUUAAAAACACAGCACUCUGCAAACACGAAAGUGGACGUAUAGGGUGUGACGCCUGCCCGGUGCCGGAAGGUUAAUUGAUGGGGUUAGCGCAAGCGAAGCUCUUGAUCGAAGCCCCGGUAAACGGCGGCCGUAACUAUAACGGUCCUAAGGUAGCGAAAUUCCUUGUCGGGUAAGUUCCGACCUGCACGAAUGGCGUAACGAUGGCGGCGCUGUCUCCACCCGAGACUCAGUGAAAUUGAAAUCGCUGUGAAGAUGCAGUGUAUCCGCGGCUAGACGGAAAGACCCCGUGAACCUUUACUGUAGCUUUGCACUGGACUUUGAGCCUGCUUGUGUAGGAUAGGUGGGAGGCUUUGAAGCGUGGACGCCAGUUCGCGUGGAGCCAUCCUUGAAAUACCACCCUGGCAUGCUUGAGGUUCUAACUCUGGUCCGUAAUCCGGAUCGAGGACAGUGUAUGGUGGGCAGUUUGACUGGGGCGGUCUCCUCCUAAAGAGUAACGGAGGAGUACGAAGGUGCGCUCAGACCGGUCGGAAAUCGGUCG